CUGACUGCCGCGGUGACGGCACUGGGCGCGAGCACAGAGGUGGAGUGCGUCGCUGUAGCAGCGCUGGUCACGGCGGGGUCAGGGCGCGAGCACAGAGGUGGAGUGCGUCGCUGUAGCAGCGCUGGUCACGGCGGGGUCAGGGACGAUGGACUGGUUGCUGACUGCGGUGGCCACGGCAGUCUGCAGGGGGUCCAUGGUGGUCUGCUCACGGUCGGCGACAUGCAGGGGCUCGGUCGACACACGAGCUUGGCACUGGGGCAGCGAGGACGGAAACAGAGCAGGGGACCAGGGAGAGGAGUCGAAGGGGAGUCUGGUGGUGCUCUUCACCGGCGGCGAGAGGCAGGGGUCGGCUCGACGAAGGCACAAGGGGCGCGACGCGGUGGGCUUCGCGGCUGCAUUGGGCUUUGCGGCGCCUUGGCGGCUGGCUUGGCCUGCGGCUUGGCGGCCGCCGUGGGCUUGGCUGCAGCGGGUUGCGCCUUCGCUGCGGGCUUCGCGGCUGCAGAGAGGCGCGGAGCAGAGGCGAGAAGUGGGCGGCGGAGGAGCAGGAGGCGGCAGCCGAGCCAAGGGAAGCGGCCGGCGGCGACUGGAGGGAGGAGAGGGGGCGGCGGGGUGGGCGGCUAG
rnacentral:misc_RNA from 1 species